AAUCAACGCUGGCGGCGUGCCUCAGACAUGCAAGUCGAACGCGAAAGUCCCCUUCGGGGGACGAGUAGAGUGGCGUCCGGGUGAGUAACACGUGAGUAAUUUGCCUUCGGGUGGGGAAUAACAGCCGGAAACGGCUGCUAAUACCGCAUGAUGCAGCGGCACCUCAUGGUGACAGUUGUUAAAGCGGGGGAUUCGCAAGAACCUCGCGCCUGAAGAGAAGCUCGCGGCAGAUUAGCUAGUUGGUAGGGUAACGGCCUACCAAGGCAACGAUCUGUAGCCGGCCUGAGAGGGCGGUCGGCCACACUGACACUGACACACGGGUCAGACUCCUACGGGAGGCAGCAGUCGGGAAUUUUGGGCAAUGGGCGAAAGCCUGACCCAGCAACGCCGCGUGAAGGAUGAAGUAUUUCGGUAUGUAAACUUCACAAGAAUGGGAAGAAUAAGUGGGGGCUAAUACCCCCCAUGAUGACGGUACCAUUUGUGAGCU
rnacentral:rRNA from 1 species